UACGUAGGGUGCGAGCGUUGUCCGGAAUUAUUGGGCGUAAAGAGCUUGUAGGCGGUUUGUCGCGUCUGCCGUGAAAGUCCAGGGCUUAACCCUGGGUCUGCGGUGGGUACGGGCAGACUAGAGUGUGGUAGGGGAGACUGGAAUUCCUGGUGUAGCGGUGAAAUGCGCAGAUAUCAGGAGGAACACCGAUGGCGAAGGCAGGUCUCUGGGCCACUACUGACGCUGAGAAGCGAAAAGCAUGGGGGAGCAAAACAGG
rnacentral:rRNA from 1 species